UGGGGAAUUUUGGACAAUGGGCGCAAGCCUGAUCCAGCCAUGCCGCGUGCGGGAAGAAGGCCUUCGGGUUGUAAACCGCUUUUGUCAGGGAAGAAAUCUUCUGAGUUAAUACCUCGGGAGGAUGACGGUACCUGAAGAAUAAGCACCGGCUAACUACGUGCCAGCAGCCGCGGUAAUACGUAGGGUGCAAGCGUUAAUCGGAAUUACUGGGCGUAAAGCGUGCGCAGGCGGUUUUGUAAGACAGAGGUGAAAUCCCCGGGCUCAACCUGGGAACUGCCUUUGUGACUGCAAGGCUUGAGUGCGGCAGAGGGGGGAUGGAAUUCCGCGUGUAGCAGUGAAAUGCGUAGAUAUGCGGAGGAACA
rnacentral:rRNA from 1 species